GACGAACGCUGGCGGCGUGCUUAACACAUGCAAGUCGAACGGAAAGGCCCUGCUUUUGUGGGGUGCUCGAGUGGCGAACGGGUGAGUAACACGUGAGUAACCUGCCCUUGACUUUGGGAUAACUUCAGGAAACUGGGGCUAAUACCGGAUAGGAGCUCCUGCUGCAUGGGGGGGGUUGGAAAGUUUCGGCGGUUGGGGAUGGACUCGCGGCUUAUCAGCUUGUUGGUGGGGUAGUGGCUUACCAAGGCUUUGACGGGUAGCCGGCCUGAGAGGGUGACCGGCCACCUUGGGCCUGAGAUACGGCCCAGACUCCUACGGUAGGCAGCGGUGGGGAAUAUUGCACAAUGGGCGGAAGCCUGAUGCAGCAACGCCGCGUGCGGGAUGACGGCCUUCGGGUUGUAAACCGCUUUCGCCUGUGACGAAGCGUGAGUGACGGUAAUGGGUAAAGAAGCACCGGCUAACUACGUG
rnacentral:rRNA from 1 species